rnacentral:piRNA from 1 species
UAAAAAUUUGGGCUGGCAGAUAG